UGGGGAAUAUUGGACAAUGGGGGAAACCCUGAUCCAGCGACGCCGCGUGGGUGAAGAAGGCCUGCGGGUUGUAAAGCCCUUUCAGUGGGGAAGAAAAGCCUCGAGCUAAUACCUCGGGGUCUUGACGUAACCCAUAGAAGAAGCACCGGCUAACUCUGUGCCAGCAGCCGCGGUAAUACAGAGGGUGCGAGCGUUAAUCGGAAUUACUGGGCGUAAAGCGCGCGUAGGCGGCUUUGCAAGUCGGGUGUGAAAUCCCCAGGCUUAACCUGGGAACUGCAUUCGAGACUGCAUUGCUAGAGUAUGGGAGAGGGAAGUGGAAUUUCAGGUGUAGCGGUGAAAUGCGUAGAUAUCUGAAGGAACAUCAGUGGCGAAAGCGACUUCCUGGACCAAUACUGACGCUCAUGUGCGAAAGCGUGGGGAGCAAACAGGAUUAGAUACCCUGGUAGUCCACGCCAUAAACGAUGAGAACUGGAUGUCGGGAGGGUCUGCCUCG
rnacentral:rRNA from 1 species